CAGUCGCCGCGGGAAUACGGAGGGUGCAAGCGUUAAUCGGAAUUACUGGGCGUAAAGCGCACGCAGGCGGUCUGACAAGUCAGAUGUGAAAUCCCCGGGCUUAACCUGGGAACUGCAUUUGAAACUGUCAGGCUGGAGUCUUGUAGAGGGGGGUGGAAUUCCAGGUGUAGCGGUGAAAUGCGUAGAGAUCUGGAGGAAUACCGGUGGCGAAGGCGGCCCCCUGGACAAAGACUGACGCUCAGGUGCGAAAGCGUGGGGAGCAAACAGGAUUAGAUACCCGUGUAGUCCCUGUCUCUUAUAA
rnacentral:rRNA from 1 species